rnacentral:rRNA from 1 species
AGAGUUUGAUCCUGGCUCAGGAUGAACGCUAGCGGCAGCUAACACAUGCAAGUCGACCGGCGCACGGGUGCGUAACGCGUAUGCAUCUACCUUGUACAGGGGAAUAGCCAGAGAAAUUAUUAAUGCCCCAUGGUGUGCAUAUAAAGCGUGGUACAAGAUGAGCAUGCGUCCCAUUAGUUAGUUGGUAGGUAACGGUUACCAAGACGAUGAUGGGUAGGGGUCCUGAAGGGAGAUCCCCCACACUGGUACUGAGACACGGACCAGACUCUACGGGAGGCAGCAGUAAGGAAUAUUGGUCAAUGGAGGGAACUCUGAACCAGCCAUGCCGCGUGCAGGAAGACGCUAUGGGUUGUAAACUGCUUUUGUCUGGGAAUACGAUGAAUGUACCAGAAGAAUAAGGAUCGGCUAACUCCGUGCCGCAGCCGCGGUAAUACGGAGGAUCCGAGCGUUAUCCGGAUUUAUUGGGUUUAAAGGGUGCGUAGGCGGCUUAUAAGUCAGAGGUGAAAUACGCAGCUCAACUGCGCAGUGCCUUUGAUACUGUAGGCUUGAAUGUGAUUGAAGAUGGCGGAAUAGACAAGUAGCGGUGAAAUGCAUAGAUAUGUCUAGAACCCCGAUUGCGAAGGCAGCUGUCUAAGUCAUGAUUGACGCUGAUGCACGAAAGCGUGGGGAUCAAACAGGAUUAGAUACCCUGGUAGUCCACGCCCUAAACGAUGAUAACUCGAUGUUAGUGUUAGCGUCUAGCGAAAGCGUUAAGUUACCACCUGGGGAGUACGCCCGCAAGGUAAACUCAAAGGAAUUGACGG